CAUUACCGAGUUUACAACUCCCAAACCCCUGUGAACAUACCUAUACGUUGCCUCGGCGGAUCAGCCCGCGCCCCGUAAAACGGGACGGCCCGCCCGAGGACCCUAAACUCUGUUUUUAGUGGAACUUCUGAGUAAAACAAACAAAUAAAUCAAAACUUUCAACAACGGAUCUCUUGGUUCUGGCAUCGAUGAAGAACGCAGCAAAAUGCGAUAAGUAAUGUGAAUUGCAGAAUUCAGUGAAUCAUCGAAUCUUUGAACGCACAUUGCGCCCGCCAGUAUUCUGGCGGGCAUGCCUGUUCGAGCGUCAUUUCAACCCUCAAGCUCAGCUUGGUGUUGGGACUCGCGGUAACCCGCGUUCCCCAAAUCGAUUGGCGGUCACGUCGAGCUUCCAUAGCGUAGUAAUAAUACACCUCGUUACUGGUAAUCGUCGCGGCCACGCCGUAAAACCCCAACUUCUGAAUGUUGACCUCGGAUCAGGUAGGAAUACCCGCUGAACUUAAGCAUAUCAA
rnacentral:rRNA from 1 species